rnacentral:rRNA from 1 species
GACGAACGCUGGCGGCGUGCUUAACACAUGCAAGUCGAACGGAAAGGCCCUGCUUUUGUGGGGUGCUCGAGUGGCGAACGGGUGAGUAACACGUGAGUAACCUGCCCUUGACUUUGGGAUAACUUCAGGAAACUGGGGCUAAUACCGGAUAGGAGCUCCUGCUGCAUGGUGGGGGUUGGAAAGUUUCGGCGGUUGGGGAUGGACUCGCGGCUUAUCAGCUUGUUGGUGGGGUAGUGGCUUACCAAGGCUUUGACGGGUAGCCGGCCUGAGAGGGUGACCGGGGAGGAGGGGACUGAGAGACGGAGCGGAAGGAAACUGGAGGCAGCGGGGGGGAAUCUGGCAGGACGGGGGGGGGGGUGAUGUGGGGAUGCGGCGUGCGGGAGGAAGGGUUUGGGGUUGUAAACAGAUUUGGCCUGUGAUGUAGAGUGCGUGACGGUAAUGGAUCAAGAAGCAACGGCUAACUACGUG